rnacentral:rRNA from 1 species
ACAUACGUUGCCGACUAGGGAUCGGAGGGCGUGCACAUUCCGCCUUCGGCACCUUACGAGAAAUCAAAGUCUUUUGGGUUCUGGGGGUAGUAUGGUCGCAAGGCUGAAACUUAAAGGAAUUGACGGAAGGGCACCACCAGGAGUGGAGCUUGCGGCUCAAUUUGACUCAACACGGGAAAUCUUACCAGGUCCAGACAUAGCGAGGAUUGACAGAUUGAUAGCUCUUUCUUGAUUCUAUGGGUAUUUUUGGUGGUGCAUGGCCGUUCUUAGUUGGUGGAGUGAUUUGUCUGGUUAAUUCCGUUAAACGAACGAGACCUCAGCCUGCUAAAUAGUUACCUGUCUUUCAUUUACCGAGACUCGUUAACUUCUUAGAGGGACGUUGUGUGCAACCACAAGGAAGUUGAGGCAAUAACAGGUCUGUGAUGCCCUUAGAUGUCCUGGGCCGCACGCGUGCUACACUGAUACGUACAACGAGGUAUGUGCAUUUAUGCAUCUAGGCUGCUCCGAAAUAGACAAAGCUAAAUCUUCGAAAAAUACGUAUCGUGCUGCGGAUAGAUCGUUGAAAUUAUGAAUCUUGAAGGUGGAAUUCCUAGUAAGCGCGGGUCAUCAACCCGCGUUGAUUACGUCCCUGCCCUUUGUACACACCGCCCGUCGCUCCUACCAAUUUCGAGUGGCUCGGUGAACCUCUUUGGACUGUCGAGCAAUCGCGAAAUUAGAGUGAACCUGGUCACUUAGAGGAAGGAAAAGUCGUAACAAGGUUUCCGUAGGU